GGCGUGCUUACACAUGCAAGUCGGAUGCGAACGGCGCUUUCGGGCGUUGAGUAGCAUGGCAGACGGGUGAGGAGCGCGUAUCUGACUGGACUCAGGCUGGGGGAUAGUCCCUCGAAAGGGGGUUGAAUACCGCAUGUGCUCGGUGCUGUGAGGGCAUCGAGGAAAGUUGGCCUCUGCGGGCACGCUGAUGGCCUGAGACAGGGAUGCGUCCUAUUAGCUAGCUGGUGGGGUAAGGGCCUACCAGGGCGACGAUGGGUAGCUGGUCUGAGAGGAUGAUCAGCCACACUGGGACUGCGACACGGCCCAGACUCCUACGGGAGGCAGCAGUGGGGAAUUUUGCGCAAUGGGCGCAAGCCUGACGCAGCAACGCCGCGUGCAUGACGACGCCUUUCGAGGUGUAAAGUGCUGUCGACCGGGACGAAGGGGCGAGGGUGAACAGCUAUCGCGCAUGACGGUACCGGUGGAGGAAGCCCCGGCUAACUCCGUGCCAGCAAGACGCGGAAAGACGGAGGGGGCGAGCGUAGAUCGGAAUUACUGGGCGUCAAGCGCGCGUAGGCGGUGCAGCCAGUGGUGCGUGACAGCACUCGGCUUAACCGGGGACGGGCGUGCCAAAC
rnacentral:rRNA from 1 species